AGGGUAAUAGUUAAUUAUAACAUUUAAUUUGCAUUUAAAAAAUAUUGAAAAUUAUUCAAUUUACCUUA
rnacentral:tRNA from 1 species